GACGAACGCUGGCGGCGUGCUUAACACAUGCAAGUCGAACGAUGAAGCCGGAGCUUGCUCCGGUGGAUUAGUGGCGAACGGGUGAGAAACACGUGAGCAAUCUGCCCUUGACUCUGGGAUAACUGCGGGAAACUGUAGCUAAUACCGGAUACGACACCUUGGGGCAUCCCAGGGUGUGGUAAGAAUUUCGGGCAAGGAUGAGCUCGCGACCUAUCAGCUAGUUGGUGAGGUAAUGGGUCACCAAGGCGACGACGGGUAGCCGGCCUGAGAGGGUGACCGGCAACACUGGAACUGAGACACGGUCCAGACUCCUACGGGAGGCAGCAGUGGGGAAUAUUGCACAAUGGGCGAAAGCCUGAUGCAGCAACGCCGCGUGAGGGAUGAAGGCCCUCGGGUUGUAAACCUCUUUUAGCAGGGAAGAAGCGAAAGUGACGGUACCUGCAGAAAAAGCACCGGCUAACUACGUGCCAGCCGCCGCCGUAA
rnacentral:rRNA from 1 species